rnacentral:rRNA from 1 species
AGUGAACGCUGGCGGUAGGCCUAACACAUGCCAGUCGAACGGCAGCACAGUAAGAGCUUGCUCUUACGGGUGGCGAGUGGCGGACGGGGGAGGAAUACAUCGGAAUCUACUUUUUCGUGGGGGAUAACGUAGGGAAACUUACGCUAAUACCGCAUACGACCUACGGGUGAAAGCAGGGGAUCUUCGGACCUUGCGCGAUUGAAUGAGCCGAUGUCGGAUUAGCUAGUUGGCGGGGUAAAGGCCCACCAAGGCGACGAGCCGUAGCUGGUCUGAGAGGAUGAUCAGCCACACUGGAACUGAGACACGGUCCAGACUCCUACGGGAGGCAGCAGUGGGGAAUAUUGGACAAUGGGCGCAAGCCUGAUCCAGCCAUACCGCGUGGGUGAAGAAGGCCUUCGGGUUGUAAAGCCCUUUUGUUGGGAAAGAAAAGCAGCAGGUUAAUACCCCGCUGUUCUGACGGUACCCAAAGAAUAAGCACCGGCUAACUUCGUG